rnacentral:rRNA from 1 species
CCUACGGGUGGCUGCAGUGAGGAAUAUUGGUCAAUGGGCGGAAGCCUGAACCAGCCAAGUCGCGUGCAGGAUGACGGCCCUACGGGUUGUAAACUGCUUUUAUACGGGAAUAACGCGCCUUACGUGUAGGGCUUUGCAUGUACCGUAUGAAUAAGGACCGGCUAAUUCCGUUCCAGCAGCCGAGGUAAUACGGAAGGUCCGGGCGUUAUCCGGAUUUAUUGGGCUUAAAGGGAGCGUAGGCCGCAUGUCAAGCGUGCUGUGAAAUGUCCGGGCUCAACCCGGGCCUUGCAGCGCGAACUGGCGGGCUUGAGUCUGCGGAAGGCAGGUGGAAUUCGUGGUGUAGCGGUGAAAUGCGUAGAUAUGACGAAGAACCCCGAUUGCGAAGGCAGCUUGCUGCAGCGGAACUGACGCUGAUGCUCGAAAGCGCGGGUAUCGAACAGGAUUAGAUACCCUUGUAGUC